UUUCUUUUUGGAGAUUGUUCUCUUUGGAGUUUUUCUGCAAGCCUAGGACAUAAAAAGCAGCAAGGUCUCUAUGUCUAUAUUCUUCAAGAUUCUGCUGUCACUGAAUUCUUCCUGUGCUGGAAUAGCAAGAAUUUACUCUGUAAUUUUAAUGAUAGUUGGCUGUGGCCUGAUUAGGAUCAUGAAGCAAACAUCACAACCAAGAGUAUCAAAUUCAUCAUUUUUAGCUCUCACUGCCACUACUGCAUGCAACCUCACAACCUGCAAAACUACCUGGACUGAGAGCAGAUGAUAGGAGUAAGAAGAAAUGAGUAAAAGAAGUAAUUGAACAGAGGUAAAAAUUAUUGGAAAAGAGAGAGUUCCAGAGUUAACUGGACUGGCAAAACAAUGAAAAACAGUGAAUAUCUGAGUGUCUCAGUGGAGUUUGUGAUCAGACUAGAAGCUGAAGGAGAAGCUGGAAAAGAAUAAAGUGACUUAAUGUUGAUGGAGCAGUAAGAGCCAGAAGUUAUGAUGGAAAACAGCAAAAGCUGCAGAGCAUAGAGAGUAAGACAGUUUAUUUGACACUGGUGAAUAGAAAUGGUGUGACACGGACAAUGUUGAUAUCAAUCUGAUUUUACCUUACAGCAGUUUACAAAGGUUGGAAUGGAAGUGUGGAUCACAGAGGACCAAAGUCAACAUCUCAGGCUUCCUAUAGCUUAGUAGUCUUUUAGAUUUAGCUCCAAAGCAAGUUCUGAAACUCAAAUGUGUCUUACACCAGAACUACUUGGAUUUAUUUCUCUGAUGGGAUGUUGAGUAGAAGACAUCAUCACACAUACUAGUCCAGGUCCUUUGCCAUAAAAUGUGUAGUGCCCCUAAUUAUCAUAAUGUGGUUGAUGUGCAGACAAAUGCACAUAGUUCCCUCUUAAGAAAACCUUGAUUCGCUGACAAAAGAUAAUACAGAAUUUAUAGGCAGCCAAUUUGGGGAAUGCAGAAAAUGUGAGAUGUAAAGCAUGUUUUGAUUAUGGCUGCUUUUGACAUACUGCUCAGUAACACGGAGUACGCAGCCUGAAAAUAAGUGAAGAGCAUCAUCAAGGAAGUAUGAGAUACUAAGGUGGGGAAAGGAACAGGACAAAAGAAAGGGUAGAGAAAAAAGGUCAAUUGUAGAGGGAACACGAAGUCUCUAUUCCAAGUAAGAAUACUUCCCAGACCAGAAUAGAAAUCACUGUUUCUAAAUCUUACCCUUCUGUUCUUAUACUCUCAGUCCUGCUCAAACCUUGCAUCAAUGAUCAAGACAAAGAGAGACAGAUAAUAGUUUAUAAUGGUCAAAAAAUACUGACUAAGUUUAAGUCUAUCAAUCCUCUGAUGCACAGUGCAGGAGUCAAAACUACAAUUCUUAAUUUCAACUUCUGUUUUUAGAAAAUGUAGAAGUUACAUAAAAUUUCUACUGUAAGAAUCUUAUUACUAUCAAAUCAAGUGUUCAAAUUAUGUUAGCAUAGCAUAGCAAGUGUUCAAAUGUUAGUAAGUUUCAGAGCUAAGAAGUUACUUGCAAACUUAAUUAAUGGCCCAUUACAUGAUUUUUCUGUUACAUUCUAGAAUUGUUAUCAAUUUUUAUUAUAUAUACACAGGACAUGAGUUAUAUUCAUUCAACAGGGUGAACAUGCAUUUCAUAAUUGAUCCGAGUUGGGUUAAAACAAAAAAAGCAGAUGCUUAUUUGUGUAGGACUAGGAAGAUAUGUGCUAAAAGAAGCAUGAUUAAGAUAAUGGAGGAUCUCAGAGUUGAUACUUUGCUUAAGAAACAGAAUCCUCUCUCUGCGUCUCACUCAGAAAUCCAAUGUGACUGGUAGCUAGUAGCACUUCUCGGGUGGACACUAAGCAUACAUUAUUUUGGGGGUAAUUUGUCUUUUAUAUUUCUACAUCUGAUUUGCACAAAGACUGUACCCACAGGAGCAAGCAAAAAUAUGUUUUGAAAAUUUAAAAGAAUUUAAUCAUAGGCAAUUGAAAAAUAGAGGCUUAGUUGUUUUAAAUUGCUUUGCAAUUAUAAUAGAUAAUAGUGAUUAUACAUUAGAGUUUUGGUGUUAUUUUUACCUCAGUUUCUACAUGCCUCCAUUUCUUACUUGGAGAGAUAAUUCCUUCAUCACAAAACAAUGUUGUAAUAAUGGAUUGAUGAGAGUUAGUGAAGCAUUCACAUAUUAUAGUGAUGAAUAUUAUGGAAAAGCCUGGAAAGUUAUUAACUAUUCUGUUUUCAAAGCACAGUUUGAAUACUGUGCAGUAAAGAAGGUAUGGGACCAUUCACAGAACAAACAGAAAAAUGUAAAAUAUUGAGAAGUUGCUGACUAAGUAAGCAACUUACAUUCUGUACCUAAGAUGAAGAAGACUUGUCAAAAAAUAGCAGGUGAUCACAUAAUUCAAGGCUGUACAAUAAUGGAUCCUCACUAGCACAUGAAUAACUUUUCAUUGGGAAAUAUUAAAUCUAGCAUUUGCAAAUAUUUGUGUCUGAUUUUGCAAUUUAAUACUGCUGUUUCUAUGUAAGAGUUCUGUUAUCUAAUUAGUACAUAAAACAAGAAUAUUAUCAGUGACUGGCAAUACAUUUUAAAUGUGGC
ensembl:lncRNA